rnacentral:tRNA from 1 species
GCCCAGAUGGCGGAAUUGGUAGACGCGCUGGCUUCAGGUGCCAGUGACCAUUAGGUCGUGGAGGUUCGAGUCCUCUUCUGGGCACCA